GUAAAAGAAAUUUCAGGGGAGGGAGGGAUUAAAACCCUAGAACCCUACCUCUGCGUAUGCUAUUGACUGCCAAUCUAUUUAUAAUUUGUAACACUGUCAUUUAUAGACAUAUACUUUUAUAACUAAAAAUUUAUUAGCAUGAUUAAAGUUCGAAUUUCGUCCCCUCCCCUAGGAGAUGAGCUGAAUACGCCUCUGUUGUGAUGCACCCUAAAUAACUUAAUAACAUUAUAAGUAUGUUGUCAUCUUAUUCUGCGCACAUCAUUAUAUAUCUAUGGCGCAUAUCGCUUACAUCACGCGGCUCUCUCCUAAUAAUUCCGCAAAUUUUUAAAUAUGUGAUA